GGGGCUAUAGUUCAGCGGCAGAACACAUGCUUUGCAUGUAGAAGGUCCCAGGUUGAAUCCUUGGCAUCUCCA